rnacentral:rRNA from 1 species
CACGGGGGGAGCAAGCGUUGUUCGGAAUUACUGGGCGUAAAGGGCGUGUAGGCGGUCGAGUAAGUGAGAUGUGAAAUCCCCCGGCUUACCCGGGGACCGGCAUCUCAAACUGCUCGGCUUGAGUACGGGAGAGGAUGAGGGAAUUCCUGGUGUAGCGGUGAAAUGCGUAGAUAUCAGGAGGAACACCGGUGGCGAAGGCGCUCAUCUGGCCCGAUACUGACGCUGAGGCGCGAAAGCUAGGGGAGCAAACGGG